UACGUAGGGUCCGAGCGUUGUCCGGAAUUACUGGGCGUAAAGAGCUUGUAGGCGGUUUGUCGCGUCUGCUGUGAAAAUCCGGGGCUCAACCCCGGACUUGCAGUGGGUACGGGCAGACUAGAGUGUGGUAGGGGAGACUGGAAUUCCUGGUGUAGCGGUGAAAUGCGCAGAUAUCAGGAGGAACACCAAUGGCGAAGGCAGCACUCUGGGACGUGACUGACGCUGAGACGCGAAAAGCGUGGGGGAGCAAACAGG
rnacentral:rRNA from 1 species